rnacentral:rRNA from 1 species
AUUGAACGCUGGCGGCAGGCCUAACACAUGCAAGUCGAGCGGGGUUUUCGGACCUAGCGGCGGACGGGUGAGUAAUGCGUAGGAAGCUACCCGAUAGAGGGGGAUACCAGUUGGAAACGACUGUUAAUACCGCAUAAUGUCUACGGACCAAAGUGUGGGACCUUCGGGCCACAUGCUAUCGGAUGCGCCUACGUGGGAUUAGCUAGUUGGUGGGGUAAUGGCUCACCAAGGCGACGAUCCCUAGCUGGUUUGAGAGGAUGAUCAGCCACACUGGAACGGAGACACGGGCCAGACUCCUACGGGGGGCAGCAGUGGGGAAUAUUGGACAAUGGGCGCAAGCCUGAUCCAGCCAUGCCGCGUGUGUGAAGAAGGCCUUCGGGUUGUAAAGCACUUUCAGUAGGGAGGAAGGAUGUUGUGUUAAUAGCACAGCAUUUUGACGUUACCUACAGAAGAAGCACCGGCUAACUCUGUGCCAGCCGCCGCUGUAAAAC